rnacentral:rRNA from 1 species
GAUGAACGCUGGCGGCGUGCCUAAUACAUGCAAGUCGAGCGAACGGACGAGAAGCUUGCUUCUCUGAUGUUAGCGGCGGACGGGUGAGUAACACGUGGAUAACCUACCUAUAAGACUGGGAUAACUUCGGGAAACCGUAGCUAAUACCGGAUAAUAUUUUGAACCGCAUGGUUCAAAAGUGAAAGACGGUCUUGCUGUCACUUAUAGAUGGAUCCGCGCUGCAUUAGCUAGUUGGUAAGGUAACGGCUUACCAAGGCAACGAUGCAUAGCCGACCUGAGAGGGUGAUCGGCCACACUGGAACUGGGACACGGUCCAGCCUCCUACGGGAGGCCGCAGUAGGGAAUCUUCCGCAAUGGGCGAAAGCCUGACGGAGCAACGCCGCGUGAGUGAUGAAGGUCUUCGGAUCGUAAAACUCUGUUAUUAGGGAAGAACAUAUGUGUAAGUAACUGUGCACAUCUUGACGGUACCUAAUCAGAAAGCCACGGCUAACUACGUG